UCUGAGUGUAUCCGAGUGUAUUUUCCUCUAUUCAACACUCUGGAAAGACUUUGUGAUGAUUUUGGACGGUUGAUUUUGAUGACCUAUCGGCUUCUAGGGUUUUUGACGAUUUAACCUACGGUUUUACCGCAUUCUGGUGGCCUGAUUGUCAUUUUCUGGACGUUUUGGGUGUGUUUCCGACGUUCUUCAUCUGAUCUCCGGUAAAGUUUGUCUUUUAAAAAAUUACACCUAGGGUUUGAUACCUAGGGUUUCUCUGUGUUUGAAGGCCGAUCUUCUCCGGUUGCGAAGAAGGAGGUUCUUUUCAAAAAUUACACCUAGGGUUUGAUACCUAGGGCUUCUCUGUGUUUGAAGGCCGAUCUUCUCCGGUUGCGAAGAAGGAGGGUAACUCUGUGUCCUUCUCCUUGAUUUUAUGUGUGCUUAUUUGACUUUGUAAUUGUGAGCAUCUGGUGGUAUCUGUGAAUACUUGUGAAUACUUGACCUAGUUGUUGUUUGUCUGUUGGUUACUGUGUUUGUACAUUUGUUCUGGCAGUAUCUUGUUUGUUGACAAGUUAUUUGUCUAAGCCGGUCUAUUAUGGCUUCUAGCACAAGUACUGGUGCUUCUACUCCUGUAGAUUCCUCUAGUCCACUCUUUCUGUACUCGUCCGAUCUCCCUGGAAUUCCACUCGUUCCCAUCCCAUUCUCGGGUACUGGUUAUGAGGGCUGGAG
rnacentral:lncRNA from 1 species